UGCCAUUUGAUAUUCCUCAGUUGAACAUUC
rnacentral:piRNA from 1 species